rnacentral:lncRNA from 1 species
CAUAGGCUGGCAUGCUGAGCCCCACGGUGAAACUUUCGAUAUUCUCAAAUACAUCGUCAUCGUUGAUGAUGACAGUGCAGGACUUUGUGCCUUCUCCUUCAUCAAACUGAACCUGUCACAAAAGAAGCAAAAGGACUUAAACUGGGCAUCACCUUAGCAUCCCCUGGUCAGUCCGGAGAUUAUGAGUACCCAACUUGAGCUGGCAAAGAACUUCAAGGUAUCUUCUAGUUCCUCCAUCCCCCAACUCCUGUUGUCCUGCCUGCAAUGCUCAGACAUCUCUCCCUGUCCUUCAUGUGCCAUGGAGGCUGAUUUAUUGUAUAAGAGCACGAAGGGCAAAGAGCUAUCCUACACCUGGUGACUAGUAAGAGAAACCAGGACCAUGCCUGUCCAUCACCUUUGCCAAAUGACAACUCCUGGUUCUCUGGAACUCUCCAAUAGAUGAGGAAAAUAUCUUCAAGAGCCCACAUGCAUGAUGCGGAGUUUGACACAAAUCAAAGCCGCCUCAGGAAAACACAACCUGAAGGUCUAUUUUCUACUUUCCCUAUAAAUUCUCCUGGAUUCUCUUCUGCAACUUGGAGAUGGAAGCAAAAGUGCUCGACAGAAGCAUUGAAGGAGAAUGCUUGAGAUUACUGGUCUCAAGAUCUCAUCUUAUGGCUUGCUAGCUACAUGACUAAGGGCAAGGAACUCUGCCUCCAUCUGUCACUACUGCUCUGCUACUGUAGGGACAAGAAGAGAAUCUUAAAAUUGCACAGUUGCAAGUAAAUAAGAUGAAUUAAGUUGAGAAUAUAGCAUCUUGUAUAUAGAUUAUAUCAUACAAUCAAUAUUUCAUGCAAUUAUUUUAAUCGCUGUUAUCAUCACUACCAUCACCACCACCACCACCACCACCACCACUACCGUUAUCUUCAACGAUAAUCGUUGACUGAAUCUGCCUUCUAAAGUGUUUCAGUCUAAUUUACUGGCUUAAUUUAUUUCUCAACAUAUAGUGUACAAUACAAAUGGUACCUGGUAUAUUUAAAGCUGAUGAGAGACCACUGGAUAUGGAAGACAUUGUCGCUGACCACAUUGGGUUUACUGUCCUUCACCAGGAACUGAAAACUAUCCAUCACUUUCUGGAUCUUCUCCUCAUACAACACAUAACGAAUCAACCCCAAGUUCACAUGCUCUGUGAGAAAAACAGAGUCCCAGAAUCCACUGUGAGCGAGUGAGAAGGUGCAAGACACUCUCAGAGUUCUCCCAGACUAACAAAGCAAGUCUAGUCUUCUAAUGGGCUACAGGAACUCAUUUUCAAAAGAAUAAAAA